rnacentral:rRNA from 1 species
CCUACGGGAGGCAGCAGUGAGGAAUAUUGGUCAAUGGACGAGAGUCUGAACCAGCCAAGUAGCGUGAAGGAUGACUGCCCUAUGGGUUGUAAACUUCUUUUAUAAAGGAAUAAAACGAGGCACGUGUGCCUUUUUGCAUGUACUUUAUGAAUAAGGAUCGGCUAACUCCGUGCCAGCAGCCGCGGUAAUACGGAGGAUCCGAGCGUUAUCCGGAUUUAUUGGGUUUAAAGGGAGCGUAGAUGGGUUGUUAAGUCAGUUGUGAAAGUUUGCGGCUCAACCGUAAAAUUGCAAUUGAUACUGGCAGUCUUGAGUACAGUUGAGGUAGGCGGAAUGCGUGGUGUAGCGGUGAAAUGCUUAGAUAUCACGAAGAACCCCGAUUGCGAAGGCAGCUUACUAAACUGUGACUGACAUUGAUGCUCGAAAGUGUGGGUAUCGAACAGGAUUAGAUACCCUGGUAGUC